AGGGGUGUAGUUCAGCGGUAGAACGUCGGUCUCCAAAACCGAAUGCCGUGGGUUCGAGUCCUGCCACCCCUGCCA
rnacentral:tRNA from 1 species